CGGCGGCGGCGGCGGCAGGCGCAGGGCUCCUCGCAGUCCGCCGGGGUGUCUGCCCGGGCUGGGCCCGCGCCGCUGUAGGGCCACCGUGUAGGUUAAAUGCUGAGGUCGUUGGGGUAAAGGGUUGGUUGGUCGUUUUCGAAGGCCAGGAACACCGGGCACCGUUAUUCGGGGGCCCGCGAGCUCCUCCAGGCCGGGUAGGGGCUAUGUUCUCACUGUGACGUCCUCCACCCCGGCUCCCGCCGAGCUGAAACCUCUGUGUUGAUUGAGGAAGCAAUAACAGAGCGGAGAGCCUGUACGUCGGAAGCGGGUGGUUUGUUGGAUGAACUCAGUGAAAACAAGGUUUUGGUGACUUCCUGGAGCUGAGAUAUGAGCCUGGGGCUUCCAGCUCCCUACACGGUGCUUGUGAAUGAGAUCCAGGUGUUCCCACCUCUGCUCUCUGUGGUCCUCUGGGCAGGUCUUUUUUCCCACAACACUUAAGCAGUCUGUUCUGCAAUCAUUAACUGAGAGCAGGAACUAGAUCAUGCGGUUUCAUUUUGUACCUAACAGAGUAAAUGUUUUUUGCCAUCCAAGCUUAUUUUGAAUUUGCAUUUAAAUGAUAAAUGUUGAGUCAAUGAAAAUCAAGUUUUGACUAAACAAUAGUUGUAGAUGUGCUAAAUUUUUAAAAUUACUAUUAUCUAGUAGAGUUUUUUUUUUUUACCUAUAAGGGUAUGGCUUUUGUGAUAGUGUAAAUAAUGGUUUUUUUUAUUUUCAUAGACUAGGAAGACAAUAAUUACCUUCGUAAGUACUUAUGUAUAUCUAUGUCAAUUUUUCUAUAAAAGCUUAUGCUUUAUUACUAUAUUCAGUAAUCAAUUUCUGAAACUUCUGUUUGUCAUUUGUAUAAUUAUGACAUGUUUAUAAAAUAAACUUUUAAACCUCA